UUUACGACCUAAUUACGAAAUGCUGGCGUGUUACAUUUUCAACAUUUGACAUAACCCUGUAUGUUUUGUAGGGACAACCCAGGAUGUGUAUUUCUCAGCACCCAGUCGACUGCCAGAAGUGACUCAAACACAGGCCACCAGUGGCACUAAGCUGUACCACUGCACUGCUGCUGAAAUUGCCAGCACCAGCGGCUUUUUAACAGCUGUUUCACAGCAUCUCGGAGACAAUGCCUACUGAAAUUAUUGGCCCUGACGACGAGAGCCCUCAAGGGGCAAACGACAUCUCUGUUGCAGAAGUGAGCCCGAUACCACCGUAACUUACCAUGACAGAUGACACGGCUGCAAUAGAUACAGAGACUGCCGUGUCUACUGCAGCUGCAACAGUGUACGAGGCAAGCAGCAGCACGUCAGCAUCAGCAGUAGUGUCAGAAGGAACCGAACCAGGCCUGGUAGGGCAACAUGUGUGCUACCACUGUGACUUUUUUUGUAGUGCAUACACCUCAUCUGCUCAACAUACGAAAGCUUUUCAC
rnacentral:lncRNA from 1 species